AGAAGGCAUUAAGGAAGUAACGCUUAGGUUUCUUUAAAGAAGCAUUCUUAGGAUAGGAGGGGGAGGGGACCUGAACCUUGAAGCAGCCACUGCAUGCUAAUGUUCUUCAAACUCAUCCUAUGUAUAACUCUGAUUUUAUACACCAAGAACUACGAAUUCCCUUCAAACACAGCACAUUUGAUUUGAUUAAAGAAACAGAAAUUUUAAAGGACUGGGUGGUCCAAAACUUCAGAGCUAUCCACCAUCUUCCGCAACAUCUCCCUGCCUCAUCCCUGCAGUCAAUAGCGCCACAGCCAGGGCCAGUGAUGCCUUUGGUGGGAUUAUUUUUACACGCCCGCGCACACGCGCACACACAUACGGGGGGAGGAGGUUUAUUUUAUUGUGACUCUUCUUGAAGUUCAUCUCUUUCCUUCCAACUUACUUUCCUCCAACACGUGACCUCUCCACUUCCCAGCCUGCGCAGUCACUAGUGGGAAGUGUAGUGGCCAGCGCGAGGCUUCCUGGGAGAGCCCCCCCGCCCGAAGCCCACCUCCUGGAGCUUGCGGCUUCA
ensembl:processed_transcript Gm20638 predicted gene 20638